UCCCUAAGUGUAUGGAAAAACAGUGCGAAGAAGAAAUCAGUGAAUUGGAUGGACAUACAGGAGGUUUAUAGGGAGAGCCCCCGCAAGCUGUUCUGUGUUGGGGCUGAAAUGAGAUAUAGCAGACCAGGAAGAUUAUUCACCCUCUUAGUGAGAUGUCUGUAUGGUCACCUCAUGUUGAAACAACUCUGAGUGAUUAUAUCACUGAUGUGAUGAACUUGCCUGAUACUAACAUAACACUAAAUAAUGACAUUCAGUGGCAAUAAGUCUUAGACUUUGGGCUCCAGUGAUGCACCUUUCUUGUUUGCUUGAAUACCAGAAAAAGAAAGGUUUCAAUUUUUAUUCUGAAUAAAAUACAGUUUUGCUUAAAUCCAGGCCUGCUCAGGUCAUGAAAAUCUGAUGUAAUCCUGGGUGUGUGG